rnacentral:rRNA from 2 species
UGGAGCAUGUGGUUAAUUCGAAGCAACGCGAAGAACCUUACCAGGUCUUGACAUCCCUGACAACCCGAGAGAUCGGCGUUCCCCUUCGGGGGACAGGGUGACAGGUGGUGCAUGGGUUGUCGUCAGCUCGUGUCGUGAGAUGUUGGGUUAAGUCCCGCAACGAGCGCAACCCUCGACCUUAGUUGCCAGCAUUCAGUUGGGCACUCUAAGGUGACUGCCGGCUAAAAGUCGGAGGAAGGUGGGAUGACGUCAAAUCAUCAUGCCCCUUAUGUUCUGGGCUACACACGUGCUACAAUGGCCGGUACAGACGGAGGCGAAGCCGCGAGGCGGAGCAAAUCCGAAAAAGCCGGUCUCAGUUCGGAUUGCAGGCUGCAAUUCGCCUGCAUGAAGUCGGAAUCGCUAGUAAUCGCAGGUCAGCAUACUGCGGUGAAUACGUUCCCGGGCCUU